rnacentral:misc_RNA from 1 species
AAAAAGCCCAGUCAGCCACCAACUCGGUGCAGGUCACGUGACCUACAGCUCGGCCUUCGCUUUUUGAGGCUUCCUCUACCCACAUCUCUAUGUGCCUGCAGCACUUCCAUAUGGAGAAAGAUAGGCUUACCAUGUUCCAUCAAUAGCACCUAAUCUAUGCCGAUUUUGGCGGACCGUGCUCCACCCCGGUGAACUCAUGCGGUUCCGACGUGCCCAGAGGCCAGAGGCGAAAUCCGUUCACGGUCCGUAGGACCAACACCAUUCGAAGGUGGGUGGCCCGCCCCGCCUAGAACAGUCAUGUUUGACUGGGCUUACACACAUUCGCUCACUUACGCUGUCCCCCCUCAGCUCACCCUAAAACGGGCCUUUUGCUCUUCUAACGUAAGCUCCAAGGCUUCACACCAAGUCUUCACUGACAUAAUAUGCAUGCUUAAGUAGGGUCAGGCAGAACCGUUGUUACCUGAUGGGAACUUCCCCCAUAUUGCUAUCAAUGUCUUCAUGUCGCACAGGGUAGGCCCACCACUUCACUUUUACUUAGGCCCGGGCCAAGUCAGUGGGGGGGACCCUGUCGGGCUCCUUCCCCCC